rnacentral:rRNA from 1 species
ACGAACGCUGGCGGCGUGCCUAAUACAUGCAAGUCGAACGCUUCUUUUUCCAUCGGAGCUUGCUCCACCGGAAAAAGAGGAGUGGCGAACGGGUGAGUAACACGUGGGUAACCUGCCCAUCAGAAGGGGAUAACACUUGGAAACAGGUGCUAAUACCGUAUAACAAUCGAAACCGCAUGGUUUUGAUUUGAAAGGCGCUUUCGGGUGUCGCUGAUGGAUGGACCCGCGGUGCAUUAGCUAGUUGGUGAGGUAACGGCUCACCAAGGCGACGAUGCAUAGCCGACCUGAGAGGGUGAUCGGCCACAUUGGGACUGAGACACGGCCCAAACUCCUACGGGAGGCAGCAGUAGGGAAUCUUCGGCAAUGGACGAAAGUCUGACCGAGCAACGCCGCGUGAGUGAAGAAGGUUUUCGGAUCGUAAAACUCUGUUGUUAGAGAAGAACAAGGAUGAGAGUAACUGUUCAUCCCUUGACGGUAUCUAACCAGAAAGCCACGGCUAACUACGUGCCAGCAGCCGCGGUAAUACGUAGGUGGCAAGCGUUGUCCGGAUUUAUUGGGCGUAAAGCGAGCGCAGGCGGUUUCUUAAGUCUGAUGUGAAAGCCCCCGGCUCAACCGGGGAGGGUCAUUGGAAACUGGGAGACUUGAGUGCAGAAGAGGAGAGUGGAAUUCCAUGUGUAGCGGUGAAAUGCGUAGAUAUAUGGAGGAACACCAGUGGCGAAGGCGGCUCUCUGGUCUGUAACUGACGCUGAGGCUCGAAAGCGUGGGGAGCAAACAGGAUUAGAUACCCUGGUAGUCCAUGUCGUAAACGAUGAGUGCUAAGUGUUGGAGGGUUUCCGCCCUUCAGUGCUGCAGCUAACGCAUUAAGCACUCCGCCUGGGGAGUACGACCGCAAGGUUGAAACUCAAAGGAAUUGACGGGGGCCCGCACAAGCGGUGGAGCAUGUGGUUUAAUUCGAAGCAACGCGAAGAACCUUACCAGGUCUUGACAUCCUUUGACCACUCUAGAGAUAGAGCUUCCCCUUCGGGGGCAAAGUGACAGGUGGUGCAUGGUUGUCGUCAGCUCGUGUCGUGAGAUGUUGGGUUAAGUCCCGCAACGAGCGCAACCCUUAUUGUUAGUUGCCAUCAUUUAGUUGGGCACUCUAGCAAGACUGCCGGUGACAAACCGGAGGAAGGUGGGGAUGACGUCAAAUCAUCAUGCCCCUUAUGACCUGGGCUACACACGUGCUACAAUGGGAAGUACAACGAGUCGCAAAGUCGCGAGGCUAAGCUAAUCUCUUAAAGCUUCUCUCAGUUCGGAUUGUAGGCUGCAACUCGCCUACAUGAAGCCGGAAUCGCUAGUAAUCGCGGAUCAGCACGCCGCGGUGAAUACGUUCCCGGGCCUUGUACACACCGCCCGUCACACCACGAGAGUUUGUAACACCCGAAGUCGGUGAGGUAACCUUUUGGAGCCAGCCGCCUAAGGUGGGAUAGAUGAUUGGGGUG